rnacentral:rRNA from 2 species
GAAUGCUGACAUAAGUAACGAUAAAGCGGGUGAAAAGCCCGCUCGCCGGAAGACCAAGGGUUCCUGUCCAACGUUAAUCGGGGCAGGGUGAGUCGACCCCUAAGGCGAGGCCGAAAGGCGUAGUCGAUGGGAAACGGGUUAAUAUUCCCGUACUUGGUGUUACUGCGAAGGGGGGACGGAGAAGGCUAUGUUGGCCGGGCGACGGUUGUCCCGGUUUAAGCGUGUAGGUGUGUGUUCCAGGUAAAUCCGGUUCACUUUAACACUGAGGCGUGACGACGAGGCACUACGGUGCUGAAGCAACAAAUGCCCUGCUUCCAGGAAAAGCCUCUAAGCAUCAGGUAACAUCAAAUCGUACCCCAAACCGACACAGGUGGUCAGGUAGAGAAUACCAAGGCGCUUGAGAGAACUCGGGUGAAGGAACUAGGCAAAAUGGUGCCGUAACUUCGGGAGAAGGCACGCUGACACGUAGGUGAAGUGAUUUACUCAUGGAGCUGAAGUCAGUCGAAGAUACCAGCUGGCUGCAACUGUUUAUUAAAAACACAGCACUGUGCAAACACGAAAGUGGACGUAUACGGUGUGACGCCUGCCCGGUGCCGGAAGGUUAAUUGAUGGGGUCAGCGCAAGCGAAGCUCCUGAUCGAAGCCCCGGUAAACGGCGGCCGUAACUAUAACGGUCCUAAGGUAGCGAAAUUCCUUGUCGGGUAAGUUCCGACCUGCACGAAUGGCGUAAUGAUGGCCAGGCUGUCUCCACCCGAGACUCAGUGAAAUUGAACUCGCUGUGAAGAUGCAGUGUACCCGCGGCAAGACGGAAAGACCCCGUGAACCUUUACUAUAGCUUGACACUGAACAUUGAGCCUUGAUGUGUAGGAUAGGUGGGAGGCUUUGAAGUGUGGACGCCAGUCUGCAUGGAGCCGACCUUGAAAUACCACCCUUUAAUGUUUGAUGUUCUAACGUGGACCCGUUACCCGGGUUGCGGACAGUGUCUGGUGGGUAGUUUGACUGGGGCGGUCUCCUCCUAAAGAGUAACGGAGGAGCACGAAGGUUGGCUAAUCCUGGUCGG